AAAUGCGAUAAGUAAUGUGAAUUGCAGAAUUCAGUGAAUCAUCGAAUCUUUGAACGCACCUUGCGCUCCUUGGUAUUCCUUGGAGCAUGCCUGUUUGAGUAUCAUGAAAUCUUCAAAGUAAAUCUUUUGUUAACUCACUUGGUUUCUACUUUGGUAUUGGAGGUCUUUGCAGCUUCACACCUGCUCCUCUUUGUUCAUUAGCUGGAUCUCAGUGUUAUGCUUGGUUCCACUCGGCGUGAUAAGUUAUCUAUCGCUGAGGACACUGUAAAAGGUGGCCAAGGUAAAUGCAGAUGAACCGCUUCUAAUAGUCCAUUGACUUGGACAAUACUUUUAUGAUCUGAUCUCAAAUCAGGUAGGACUACCCGCUGAACUUAAGC
rnacentral:misc_RNA from 1 species